UGCAUCGGCCGAGAAUCGAACCCGGGCCGCCCGCGUGGCAGUCGAGCAUUCUCGCCACGGAACCACCGAUGC
rnacentral:tRNA from 1 species